AUCUCACAAUGUAUCUUUUUUGUCACGUUUUCCUAACAUUCAUGCAAUAUGAUGCAUGAAUGUUGGGAAAACGUGACAAAAAGGAUAUAUUGUGAGAUUA